AACGCGAAGAACCUUACCUGGGCUCGAAAUGUACAGGACAACGGUAGAAAUAUCGUCUCCCAGCAAUGGGUCUGUAUAUAGGUGCUGCAUGGCUGUCGUCAGCUCGUGUCGUGAGAUGUUGGGUUAAGUCCCGCAACGAGCGCAACCCUUAUCUCCAGUUGCUACCAUUUAGUUGAGCACUCUGGCGAAACCGCCUCGGAUAACGGGGAGGAAGGUGGGGAUGACGUCAAGUCCUCAUGGCCUUUAUGUCCAGGGCUACACACGUGCUACAAUGGCCGGUACAAACCGCUGCAACCCCGCGAGGGUGAGCUAAUCGGAAAAAGCCGGCCUCAGUUCGGAUUGGAGUCUGCAACUCGACUCCAUGAAGCUGGAAUCGCUAGUAAUCGUGGAUCAGCAUGCCACGGUGAAUACGUUCCCGGGCCUUGUA
rnacentral:rRNA from 1 species